rnacentral:tRNA from 3 species
GGGGGAAUGCCCGAGUGGCUAAAGGGGGCAGACUGUAAAUCUGUUAGCUUAGCUUACGGUGGUUCGAAUCCACCUUCCCCCACCA